rnacentral:rRNA from 1 species
CUUCUGCCCUAUCAACCUUCGAUGGUAGUAUAGAGGACUACCAUGGUUAUAACGGGUAACGGGGAAUUAGGGUUCGAUUCCGGAGAGGGGGCCUGAGAAAUGGCCACCACUUCCAAGGAAGGCAGCAGGCGCGCAAAUUACCCAAUCCCAAUACGGGGAGGUAGUGACAAGAAAUACCAAUACAGGCCCAAUGGGACUGUGUUUGGAAUGAGUGUAAUUUAUAAACCUUAUCAAGGAACGAUUGGAGGGCAAGUCUGGUGCCAGCAGCCGCGGUAAUUCCAGCUCCAAUAGUGUAUACUAAAGUUGCUGCAGUUAAAAAGCUCGUAGUUGGAAUUCGGUUAAUGAAUUGAUAGUCUAUAUUUUAUAUAUACGCACUGUUAAUUCAUUUCCUUUUUUUUAGGUUUAACCACUUUUAGUGAUUUUCCUAAAUAUUUUACUUUGAGAAAAUUAGAGUGUUCAAAGCAGGCGUAACUAAGCCUUUGAAUAUAUUAGCAUGGGAUAAUGAAAUAAGACUUUUUGCCUUAUUCUCGUUGGUUCAUAGGGCUAAAGUAAUGAUUAAUAGGGAUAGUUGGGGUCAUUAGUAUUUAAUUGUCAGAGGUGAAAUUCUAAGAUUUAUUAAAGACUAACUACUGCGAAAGCAUUUGACAAGGAUGUUUUCAUUAAUCAAGAACGAAAGUUGGGGGAUCGAAGAUGAUCAGAUACCGUCGUAGUCUCAACCAUAAACUAUGCCGACCAAGGAUUCGGGGGUGUUAAAUGAAUGACUCUCCGGGCACUUAUAGAGAAAUCAUAAGUAUUUGGGUUCCGGGGGGAGUAUGGUCGCAAGGCUGAAACUUAAAGGAAUUGACGGAAGGGCACCACCAGGAGUGGAACUUGCGGUUUAAUUUGACCCAACACGGGGAAACUUACCAGGUCCAGACACAGUAAGGAUUGACAGAUUGAGAGCUCUUUCUUGAUUUUGUGGGUGGUGGUGCAUGGCCGUUUCUAGUUGGUGGAGUGAUUUGUCUGGUUAAUUCCGUUAACGAACGAGACCUUAACCUAUUAAAUAGUAAUACGAACUUGUACUCUUUUGUACAAUUUGUUUGUAAAUGACUUCUUAGAGGGACUCUUCACAUACAGAGUGAAUGGAAGUUUGAGGCAAAAACAGGUCUGUGAUGCCCUUAGAUGUUCUGGGCUACACGCGUGUUACACUGAUAUACUCAACAAGUUAAAACUUUCCUUACCUGGUGAGGUUGGGUAAUCUUUUAAAUGUAUAUCGUGAUGGGGAUUGAUCAUUGUAAUUAUUGAUCAUGAACGAGGAAUUCCUAGUAAGUGCAAGUCAUAAACUUGCGCUGAUUACGUCCCUGCCCUUUGUACACACCGCCCGUCGCUUCUACCGAUGAAUGAUCCGAUGAGGACUUAGGAUGGUCUUGGAUCUUGGUUAUAAAAUGCCAAUCCAUUGUUUAUCAGAAUUCGUUCAAAUCUUAUCAUUUAGAGGAAGGAGAAGUCGUAACAAG